GAUGAACGCUGGCGGCGUGCCUAAUACAUGCAAGUCGAGCGAACAGACGAGGAGCUUGCUCCUCUGACGUUAGCGGCGGACGGGUGAGUAACACGUGGAUAACCUACCUAUAAGACUGGGAUAACUUCGGGAAACCGGAGCUAAUACCGGAUAAUAUAUUGAACCGCAUGGUUCAAUAGUGAAAGACGGUUUUGCUGUCACUUAUAGAUGGAUCCGCGCCGCAUUAGCUAGUUGGUAAGGUAACGGCUUACCAAGGCGACGAUGCGUAGCCGACCUGAGAGGGUGAUCGGCCACACUGGAACUGAGACACGGUCCAGACUCCUACGGGAGGCAGCAGUAGGGAAUCUUGCGCAAUGGGCGAAAGCCUGACGGAGCAACGCCGCGUGAGUGAUGAAGGUCUUCGGAUCGUAAAACUCUGUUAUUAGGGAAGAACAAAUGUGUAAGUAACCAUGCACGUCUUGACGGUACCUAAGCAGAAAGCCACGGCUAACUACGU
rnacentral:rRNA from 1 species